rnacentral:rRNA from 1 species
AUUAUUCAUAACGACUCUCGGCAACGGAUAUCUCGGCUCUCGCAUCGAUGAAGAACGUAGCGAACUGCGAUACUUGGUGUGAAUUGCAGAAUCCCGUGAACCAUCGAGUCUUUGAACGCAAGUUGCGCCCGAAGCCAUUUGGCCAGGGCACGUUUGCCUGGGUGUC